GCCUGACACUGCUGUCCUCUGGGGAGGUGUAAAAUUUCCAUUAGAAAAAUGCAAGGAGGCUGGCCCUGGUGGCACAAACCUUAAAUCCCAGCACUCAGGAUGGAGAGACCGGCAGAUCUCGGAGUUUCAGGCUAGUUAGAACUACGCAGUAAGACCCCGUCUCAAAAACAAACAAACGAGCAAGAAGACGAAAAAGGAGGAGGAAGAGAACUAAGGGCCAAGAACUGGAAGAGGAAGUAUGUUGCUGCGCUGCAGAGUUGCCGUGGCAAUGGGUCAGCAGCAGAAAGAAACAGGUUCUGCCCUCAACAGACCAUCUGUUAGGAAGGGACCUUAAAUCUCCAAGAAAGGAAGUCUCUAGAGAUAGGACAUUCCAUUCUGUUGGAGUUUAAAUUUGGUCCCAGAGCAACAAGACCUGCUUUGGAGCCUCCAAACCUCAGGACUCCACAGUUCUCAAAAAGACAGCCGAACGGCUUCCUGGAAUCCCGUGUGAGCUGUCAGCUCUGCAGCACCUUGCGUAUCACCUUGGCUUUCUUACAGAAAAGCUCUCUGAUCAAGGUGUGGCUGAGACUGGAGAGCAUGGGUGUGGCUGAGACUGGAGAGCAUGGGUGUGGCUGAGACUGGAGAGACACCCCUUCUGCCUGCCGGGUCCUUCAGAAGACUCCCCGGAGUCCCCUCUCUAUUCGGCUGCUUGCUGGUGAAAAGGUCAGCUUAGGAACUUUGGGAAGGUCAUGGAACACUUGCCUCUACAGAAGGGAGAGGCCAAUUAACAUUUCUCAGACCACAGGGCGGGAACUGACC
rnacentral:lncRNA from 1 species